rnacentral:rRNA from 1 species
AUUGAACGCUGGCGGCAGGCCUAACACAUGCAAGUCGAGCGGAUGAAGGGAGCUUGCUCCUGGAUUCAGCGGCGGACGGGUGAGUAAUGCCUAGGAAUCUGCCGGGUAGUGGGGGAUAACGUCCGGAAACGGGCGCUAAUACCGUAUACGUCCUGAGGGAGAAAGUGGGGGAUCUUCGGACCUCACGCUAUCAGAUGAGCCUAGGUCGGAUUAGCUAGUUGGUGGGGUAAAGGCCUACCAAGGCGACGAUCCGUAACUGGUCUGAGAGGAUGAUCAGUCACACUGGAACUGAGACACGGUCCAGACUCCUACGGGAGGCAGCAGUGGGGAAUAUUGGACAAUGGGCGAAAGCCUGAUCCAGCCAUGCCGCGUGUGUGAAGAAGGUCUUCGGAUUGUAAAGCACUUUAAGUUGGGAGGAAGGGCAGUAAGUUAAUACCUUGCUGUUUUGACGUUACCAACAGAAUAAGCACCGGCUAACUUCGUG